ACAACAACAACGGAGAGGACACCUCCACGACUGCCGACCACUACCGCCGUACGCCGACAAGCUUCGAAUCACAAUUACUAGAAUUGAUCUCAAAGGUCUCGACGGCCACUGCCUCCGUACACCGACGAAGGUAUGUUUGGGAAUCGAAGGCUGAUGGCGCAUUUUUUGAGGAUUCAAGGAACGAACAACUUGGGCAUGGAACUGAAAUCAAAUUGUAUCUCAGAGAGGAAACUGGGGAAUAUUUGGAGGAGAGCAAACUGAAGCCGGAGAAUAUUUGGAAGAGAGUAAUACAUACAUUGGUAUAUAUUACUUGUUCAUAUUACUUGUCUAACAAUGAUGUUCAAUGGAAAAGGAGAAUUUUGUUCUGACUUCAUAAGUUGAGAAGGUUUAAAACCUACUGAAAACUUCAAUGAGCUUAUACCAAUUGAGGUCACUUUAAUCACCACAAGAGCUUCCUUUUUCGUCUGCAGUUCUCUUUUAUCACCAUGGAUAACCACCCCACCUUAGCAUUGUAGUUUUAUCAUCUAUUGAUUUACUUAUGUCCCAAUUGAUUUCAUUA